UACGUAGGGUGCGAGCGUUAAUCGGAAUUACUGGGCGUAAAGCGUGCGCAGGCGGUUUGUUAAGUCCGUUGUGAAAUCCCCGAGCUCAACUUGGGAACUGCAAUGGAUACUGGCAAGCUGGAGUAUGGUAGAGGAAGGUGGAAUUCCCGGUGUAGCAGUGAAAUGCGUAGAGAUCGGGAGGAACACCAGUGGCGAAGGCGGCCUUCUGGACCAAUACUGACGCUCAUGCACGAAAGCGUGGGGAGCAAACAGG
rnacentral:rRNA from 1 species